rnacentral:rRNA from 1 species
AAGCGGGAGCGACUUAGCGGCGGACGGGUGAGUAACGCGUGGGUAACCUGCCCCAUACCGGGGGAUAACGGUUAGAAAUGACCGCUAAUACCGCUUAAGCGCACGAGGCCGCAUGGCCGCGCGCGAAAAACUCCGGUGGUAUGGGAUGGGCCCGCGUCUGAUUAGCUAGUUGGCGGGGUAAAGGCCCACCAAGGCGACGAUCAGUAGCCGACCUGAGAGGGUGGCCGGCCACAUUGGGACUGAGACACGGCCCAAACUCCUACGGAAGGCAGCAG